rnacentral:misc_RNA from 1 species
GAUGAAGAACGCAGCGAAAUGCGAUAAGUAAUGUGAAUUGCAGAAUUCAGUGAAUCAUCGAAUCUUUGAACGCACAUUGCGCCCGCCAGUAUUCUGGCGGGCAUGCCUGUUCGAGCGUCAUUUCAACCAUCAAGCUCCCGGGCUUGUGUUGGGGGCCUGCGGCUGCCGCAGCCCCCUAAAAGCAGUGGCGGGCUCGCUAUCACACCGAGUGCAGUAGUUCAUCUUCUCUCCGGUCUUGUGAGGCGGGUUCCGGCCGUGAAACACCCCACUACAUUCAAGGUUGACCUCGGAUCAGGUAGGAAUACCCGCUGAACUUAAGCAUAUCAAUAAGCGGAGGA